rnacentral:misc_RNA from 1 species
CCCACCCACAAAACACGUGAAGUCAAAAUGGCGGAUAAUCCUCCAGCUCCUCCAGAAGAUGCUGAGACAAAAAAUAUUAUUGAUAAACUGGCAAAUUUUGUUGCUCGGAAUGGCCCAGAGUUUGAGGCCAUGACGAAAAAGAAACAACAAAGCAACCCAAAGUUCAGUUUUCUUUAUGGAGGAGACCAUCACUCCUACUACCUCUGGAAAGUGAAAGCAGAGAGGGAAGGUGGAUCACGUGAUCAACACGUGACUCCAUCGGAGACUAGCGCAACGAGUUUUCAUCCUUCUUCUCAAAAUAUUGAAUCGAUGCUUGAGUCAUUACAUCAAACAAAGUUAAAGGAGCAGGUGGACAUUGCGGUCAUCACAGAUCCACUGGAAAGAGAAUUCCAAUCAGUCAUUAGCCCAGUCAUGAAUUCCUGUACCAAUGAAUCAAUGGCCAGCAGUAAAGGUUGGGUCUGUAGCCAUUCAAAGACUGAGGAAGAUUGUGGAAAGAUGGCACAUUUUAUAAUGAGAAGAACGUUGGAUUCUCCUAAUAUUGAAUUCUCUCAUAAACUUCAUGUCAUUUACCUCAUUAAUGACAUACUAUAUCACUGUUUCAGAAAAGAUGCUCAUGACUUAAAACAAGCUCUAGAAACGGUUGUUGUUCAAAUAUUUUAUAAUGUUUUUUCGUCUGAUCCCAGCAGGAGUGACCCUCUCAUUAAGGUUCUGAAUAUAUGGGAGAGUCAGAAAUAUUUGAGCGAAGGAAAAAUUUCGAUAAUUAAAGAUUUAUUGAAGCUACCUGAGUCUUCAUUACCUAAAGCUCCACCUAUUGCUCUGCCCCCUAUUGUAAAUGAGGGUGUGGCUGCCCCUCCUCCUCCGUGGAUGCAGCAGUCAAUGAACCAAGCUCCACCUCCAAUUCCACAUCCUGGUCCAGCUCCAUGGCAACAAGCUCCACCUCCUCCAGCUCCGCCUUCUUGGGAUCACCCUCCUCCUCCUCCAAAUUAUCUUCCUCCUUCUCGUCCUCCCUGGGGACCUCCCCCUCCCUCUCAUUGGUCCCACCCACACAUUCCCCCUCCUAACGAACCGACGCCUUUAUUUGAAACUCCGCCCAUUCCCCCACCCCCACCUCCUGAUAAUCAAUUUAUUGAAAGUAUUGAUUAUAAUCAUCAAAAAUUAUCGGAGCCACACCCACUUGAUCCCGCUUUUACCGGCAAACCGUCUCCAUCCAAAGAUCCUCCUUUUAUGCCACGCCCUCCGGAGCAUGGAUUGGAACCACACCCACCUCCUUUUCAAGGCGUGCAAGUAUUUGAUUACAAUCAUCAGCCGCCUCCCACUUCUUGGGAUAACAUGCCACACCCCUCUCACCCCAUGCCUCCUCAGGGACCACGCCCAUUUCCCUUUCCUCCUGAUCGGUCUUUCAUGCCAAGACCGCCUCCCCCUAUGCCACAGGGUCCCCGCCCACCUCAUUUACCAUAUUUUGAUUUACCAGCUGGUCUUAUGAUACCACUAGUACCGCUUCACGAGAGUUCUUACCGCCCACUCAACCCACUGCAUGUUGUUCUUCCUCCUCCUAUUCCUCCGACCGAAAGACUCAUUAAAGCAGUGGAGGAGUUUUACCAACCACCGACUGAAGAGAAGACAAGAAACCAAGAUGGUUGGGAGGCUAAGGCUUUGCUUGACUUUUACGAUGCAAAGAUGAAAGCUAAAGACAUUUUGAAGAACAAAGGAGGAGGAGGAGGAGGAAAUACCAGACGGAACGUGCCGCCAAGAAGAAGAUCCCCAUCUCCAAGGAGAAGAAGGAGAAGAUCUUCUUCAUUGUCACCUUCACCUCCUCCUCGAUCAAGAAGGAGGUCGUCACGUUCUCCGUCAAGCGACUCAAGUUCCUCGUCCAGUCGUUCACCGUCACCUCAUCGGAGGAGGAGAAGGCGUGGCAGAGGAAGUAGGCGGAGCUACUCUCGAUCCCCCUCCCCCAAAACUCCAACAAUUGAAGAAUCUUCUCGAAGAAAACCACCACCACAACAACCUUCAGCUCCUAUAACAACCGGAAGUCAAGAACUAGGCCAAUUGACGGAAGGUAACGUUGGACAUCAGAUGCUAAAGAGAAUGGGUUGGGAGGGGGCGGGGCUUGGUUCCAAAGAGCAAGGGAUUCAAGCUCCUAUAAAAGGCGGUGAAGUUAGGAAUAAAGCUGAGCAGUUUGCUGGAGUUGGCAUGGCACAGAAUAAUGAUCCGUUUGAACAAUUUAGACGCUCUAAAAGUUAUACUUAUAACAGACGUCCUCCAUCAGGACCUCCCUAAGUUCCAAGGGGUCGCAUAUUCCCAGAACCAAAAAGAAGAAAAUGAUGUUCUCUUUGGAGAUUAAAAUUAUUAAUUUUAUUCAUGUACUAUAAUGAUAAUGAUGAUAAUACAGUAAUUAAUUAAAUUAAUUAUUCAUUGUCCAAGGAUGGGCUGAGGUGCUAAUUUUGCAUGCUGCAGCAUAGAUACAGCUUCUUCUCUGUUGCUAAGAUAUUUUCCAGAGGAAAGACGCGUCAUUCCUAACAUUUCUACGGCUUAGAGGCGGUAAGGACAGACACCCUGGGGUCUAUUUUUAGCAGCUUUGGAGAUCUGUGUGCUCCUUUUAAAAAUCAAUUUAGAAGUACUAUUUUGAAAAGAAAAAGAGGUGGUGACCCCAUCAUGAAGAUAUUUGAUAAUUUCACUCAAACUUUGAACCAGUAUCCUUUCCUAUGGAUACUCUAUCCUAUCCUGAUACUUCUUCCUGUAGUACUUCUAGUAUCGUACUGUGUCAAGAUUGACAGAAAGGUAAUUAAAGACAGAUAACCUUUUGUAACUUGAGAUAACAAAGCAUGUACAUCACUUUUGAGCUGCAAUUGCAAUUCAAAAAUAGCAAGUGUUAUCUUAUGCUGCUAGCUUUAUUUGAAAUUUAAAUUUUAAAAAGUAUCCUAUAAUAUUUGAAUUUUGUAA